CUAAUCCUUAUAAAACCGACCCCAGUACGGAUAGAGGUCUGCAACCGACCUCUUGAAGCCGGAAUUGCUAGUAAUCCCAGGUCAGCUAAACUGGGGUGAAUACGUUCUCGAGUCUUGUACUCACCGCCCGUCAAGUCAAGGGAGCUGGGGGUACCCGAAGGUCUGCCUUGCGCAGGACUACGGUAAAUUCAGUGACAAGGACUAAGUCGUAACAAGGCACGGGUAGCGGAAGCUGUUCGUGGAACAU
rnacentral:rRNA from 1 species